rnacentral:rRNA from 1 species
GGCCUACCAAGGCGAUGAUGCAUAGCCGAGUUGAGAGACUGAUCGGCCACAUUUGGGACUGAGACACGGCCCAAACUCCUACGGGAGGCAGCAGUAGGGAAUCUUCCACAAUGGACGCAAGUCUGAUGGAGCAACGCCGCGUGAGUGAAGAAGGGUUUCGGCUCGUAAAGCUCUGUUGGUAGUGAAGAAAGAUAGAGGUAGUAACUGGCCUUUAUUUGACGGUAAUUACUUAGAAAGUCACGGCUAACUACGUGCCAGCAGCCGCGGUAAU